CAGCAGCCGCGGUAAUACCGGCGGCCCGAGUGGCGGUCACUCUUAUUGGGCUUAAAGCGUCCGUAGCCGGGUUGGGAAGUCCUCCGGGAAAUCUGGCCGCUUAACGGUCAGAAUGCCGGAGGAUACUCCCAGCCUAGGGAGCGGGAGAGGCCGAGGGUAUUCCCGGAGUAGGGGUGAAAUCCUAUAAUCCCGGGAGGACCACCUGUGGCGAAGGCGCUCGGCUGGAACGCGUCCGACGGUGAGGGACGAAGGCCAGGGGAGCAAACCGGAUUAGAUACCCGGGUAGUCCUGGCUGUAAACGAUGCGGACUUUGUGUCGGACAAGCUAUGAGCUUGUCCGGUGCCGGAGGGAAACCGUUAAGUCCGCCGCCUGGGGAGUACGGCCGCAAGGCUGAAACUUAAAGGAAUUGGCGGG
rnacentral:rRNA from 1 species